rnacentral:rRNA from 1 species
UACAGGGGGUGCAAGCGUUGUUCGGAAUUACUGGGCGUAAAGCGCGGGCAGGUGGCCUUUUAAGUCCUGUGUGAAAUCCCGGAGCUCAACUCCGGAUGUGCAUAGGAUACUGGAGGGCUAGGGACUGGUAGAGGCGAGCGGAAUUCCUGGUGUAGCGGUGGAAUGCGUAGAUAUCAAGAGGAACACCUGAGGUGAGGACGGGUUGCUGGGCUGACACUGACGCUGACAGCGCGAAAGCUAGGGGAGCAAACGGG